AACCAUAGAAACCUGCGGAGUACCUGCGGAGGGAUCAUUACAAGUGACCCCGGUCUAACCACCGGGAUGUUCAUAACCCUUUGUUGUCCGACUCUGUUGCCUCCGGGGCGACCCUGCCUUCGGGCGGGGGCUCCGGGUGGACACUUCAAACUCUUGCGUAACUUUGCAGUCUGAGUAAACUUAAUUAAUAAAUUAAAACUUUCAGCAACGGAUCU
rnacentral:misc_RNA from 1 species